UAUUACAUCAAACGGGAGCGCGCCAAAUUUUAAACGGUCUUAAACAAAGUCUUUAGACUGGAAGUGUUACUAAGAGGAAUCAGGUGUAAUAUCGCUUAAGUAAGAUGAGAAAAAUAACAAUGCAGACGCAACAUUGAUCAGUAAGUCUUAAAUAAAAGUCACAGUAAAACACGAAAUGAAAACUCGUCAGAAGCUAAAGCACUCUAAUGUGAAGCAACACCAUUAUAAAAUUCAACUACCGACAAUAAGAUUUCAAAAUGGGUCAUAUAUUACAACUCUACUGAAGAAAGAUGACAAGCGCACGUUGCUUACC